rnacentral:tRNA from 1 species
GAGGGAAUAGCUCAGUGGUAGAGCACGUGCUUAGCAUGCACAAGGUCCUGGGUUCAAUCCCCAGUACACUCA